UAUUCUCCCUCUGAUGAGACGAGCUGCAGUUGGAUGUUAAAACCCGAGUGAGUCACUGCAGCAGCUUCAGGGGAGUCGGCGUGAAUGUUUUGUAACGAUAAAGCUUCCCACUGAGCUUAUGAUUGAUUUAUGGCAUUUUAAAUGGCCACACCCACACACGCUCAGUAGCACACGCCUCCAUCUUAUCUCUGACUUCACAGUAAACAUCUAAAAGCCUGAGCGGGCGAUGGUUUACUUCUGCUGAGUGGGCAACAAACGAACACAUCAUAAUAAAAUGUGCACCUACGGCUCUUUGACCUCUGAACACCUGAGCUUUGGGCAGAAGAGGUUGGAAUAUAUGAGAUAAAUGGAGAUGUAAUGAAUCCAUGUUGUCAGUUUCCUGCCACACGCUGAGCCUGUUACUUCUGUUGAUCAACACAGCAGGACUUUAACAAGCUGUUAGUCAUGAACCACAGAUGCCGUUUCUCCAAAACAUGAUCAUUAAUGGUUUCUCAGCAGUUUGUUCACUCCCUCCCUGUUUCCCUCAGGUCCGAGAGCGAUGCGGAGGCUCGGUUCAGCUCGCGCGCACUGACUGCACCUGGUGUCAGAGCUGAGUGCUGGCUGUGGAGCGUCAGCAGCAGGUGGUCGCUUACACCGUGUAGAUGAAACGUACAGUCACGCCAGAGACGAGCUGCUGGAAUCAUCGGUGAACGUUGAUCUGUGUCGUCCUUCCUGCAGCUGCCGCUUCCCUGAGAGAGAGACCGAACCAUUUAACAACGUCGAAAGUUGCUUACUUCAAGAGGAAAUAUGCGGAGGAGGAGGAUCUACAUGGAGGCCUCCGUGGAUAUUUUCAAAAACACCUGAUCCUGCAGGAGGACCGGAGCUGCAUCCUGAAGCUGUCCCUGGAGAAGCUCAGGUUCCUGGAGGACCCCGAGGCGUACCUGCGGCGCUCUGUCCUCAUCAACAACCUGCUGAGGAAGAUUCACCAUGAGGAGGAGGAGCUGGAGGCCGAGGAAGAGGAUGAAGUAGAGGAGGAGGAGGAGGAGGAGGACAGUGUGGAGGGGGGGCAGCGCCGGUUGAUGUACCCGGACAGGAAGCGGGUGAAGGUGCUGGUGACGGACUGCUGUUCUCCGGCGUUGGGCCUGAAGGAGCUGCAGCACUGCCGCCUGGUGCCCUGCUUCCCCGCGGCCGGGUGUCUGUACAGCCUGGGGACCUGCCAGGGAUUCGCUCCCGGCCACCAGGUGCUGCUGUACGAGCUGGACGACAACGGCUGAGCCCGCUCCUCUCUGCCCUUCGCGCUGGGAGAUGCAAACCACCGUGUGGAACCUGCUGCUGCUUCGCUCCAGUUGACCAGUGAAAACCCGAGGGGGACUCGCAGGCUCCGUUGGGCCUCCUCUCGGAUGGAUUUAAAAAGCUGAGAAUCCCUGAUUCUUCUCUCAGGAUCGACAGGGUCUCUGAUGUCAUAGCGCUGCGGCGUCACUGCCAACCUUGUAUUUGUGCAAAUGUGAGAACCGAGCAGACGGAAAUGUUUUUCUUGCUGUUGCUGUGUUAUUGAUUUUUAAUUGUUACCGUUGCUCAUGUGAACCGUGAGCGCAUUCAGGGAUUUACACUGCAGGCUACUUUUGAUGCACCUUGGCUUGACAAAUGUAUGUGAACAUGCUUCUGUUCUGUUUUUAGGCUAUUGUGAGAUUUAUGAUGAACCCUGUAACAUUCCCUGUCAUCUGGUGCAUCUCUCUGUGUGAACACUGUUCCUUUCUGUAAUUGACGUGUUGUGAUCAUGACCAUGAUCCUAGUUUCGCAGCGUCCUGGUGCCCUCUGCUGGCAACAAACUGCAUCUUCACCUUGACGUUUAAACUCCUUUAUUUAGCGUUUCAACAUGUGAGUAAUCAGCGGUGGAAAAUAACAAGGUCUAGUUUAAGUACAGCUUUGAUGUAGAUGUAUUUCCAUUCGAGCCAAUGCUUUUUCUCAAUGCCAAUUAUUAUUUUGUAAAUGACUUAAUUCUAAGUUCUAAAGCUAAUCAUGAGCGUUGUAUUGCAUAUUUCCUACUACCUGAUCUGAUUAAACUGAUACAGGGUAUUGCGGUGGCUUUCAGUGCAAACUUACCAAUAUUUCACAAAACCUGAGAUGUUUUUUUAUUUAAUUGCCUCCGUAGUUUUGAUAAAAUUGUGAGAAGAUAUUUUGUUAAUGUGGCACAACGCUGGUUUAUAAAGCUAAACUGUUGUAUGACGAUGGCAAUUAUGAGUCAUUCGUGUCUUUUUCUGUGUUUUGAUUAUUCAGUCUCUGUGCGAAAGUUUGGAAAAUGUACAUCUUGUUAUCCAUCCCUACAAAACAAAGUAAAGUAAAGGCAACAACUAAAGAGAAACCUAAUAUUUUAAAACAAGAAUUUAUAUUUUGUUGAAAAUGCAAAUUCUAGUCAGUAUUUAAAAUAAAUACUAUUUUGAAACAUGGUCAUUUAAUUCUUUUUCAAGCAGUUGAUUAGCAAAUAAAAUAUGUAUAAAGAACAAA